rnacentral:lncRNA from 1 species
UCAUUCACAUGUCUUAAUUACCUAUGUUGAAUUACCGGUAACAAUAAAUAAAUUAAAGUAAUAAAAGAACACAACGAAUGUUGACGGAGAAACCCCAACUGGGUAAAAACUCCGAGCACAAGCCAGUAGAGAUCCACUAUUUGUAGAAGGUAACUUACAGUACGUCAGAACAAUUGAUCCCCUCAAUUUUCUAACCUCCUUACUGUUUGAGAACAAGACUCUCCUGGAUCUAGCAGAUCUGUGCUACCAUCCCAGCCUUGUGUGACUUCUACUUCUCGUGAAUCGUCAAGCACUCCC